UAGUGGCGAACGGGUGAGUAACACGUGGGCAAUCUGCCCUUCACUCUGGGACAAGCCCUGGAAACGGGGUCUAAUACCGGAUAAUACCUGCCUGGGCAUCUGGGUGGGUUGAAAGCUCCGGCGGUGAAGGAUGAGCCCGCGGCCUAUCAGCUUGUUGGUGAGGUAGUGGCUCACCAAGGCGACGACGGGUAGCCGGCCUGAGAGGGCGACCGGCCACACUGGGACUGAGACACGGCCCAGACUCCUACGGGAGGCAGCAGUGGGGAAUAUUGCACAAUGGGCGAAAGCCUGAUGCAGCGACGCCGCGUGAGGGAUGACGGCCUUCGGGUUGUAAACCUCUUUCAGCAGGGAAGAAGCGAGAGUGACGGUACCUGCAGAAGAAGNGCCGGCUAACUACGUGCCAGCAGCCGCGGUAAUACGUAGGGCGCAAGCGUUGUCCGGAAUUAUUGGGCGUAAAGAGCUCGUAGGCGGCUUGUCACGUCGGGUGUGAAAGCCCGGGGCUUAACCCCGGGUCUGCAUUCGAUACGGGCUAGCUAGAGUGUGGUAGGGGAGAUCGGAAUUCCU
rnacentral:rRNA from 1 species